UACGUAGGGUGCGAGCGUUAAUCGGAAUUACUGGGCGUAAAGCGUGCGCAGGCGGUCUGUUAAGACAGAUGUGAAAUCCCCAGGCUUAACCUGGGAACUGCAUCCGAUACUGGAUGGCUUGAAUCCGGGAGAGGGAUGCGGAAUUCCAGGUGUAGCGGUGAAAUGCGCAGAUAUCGUGAGGAACACCAGAGGCGAAGGCGGUUACCUGGACAGUUACUGACGCUCAGGCACGAAAGCGUGGGGAGCAAAAGGG
rnacentral:rRNA from 1 species